GGGAGGGGGUAAGCUCUCCUUUAUAAGCGGCUCUUCUUCUCCUACCUCCUUCCCAAUGCACCAACAAAACCUUGCGGUAGGCGGGAGUGAGCCGCGCAAAUGGCCAAUCGCGACCGAAGGAGACAGUGAUGGGGAGGCGGGGCCCGCAGCCGGCUCCACCCAGCGCGGGAAGUGGGCGGGGUCUCCGCGAGCGCUCUGUGUCGGCUCGCUGGCGGGCGGGGCGGAGGAGGUGAAUGAAUUCGCAGGUAGCGUUGGAACAAAGCGGCUCGGCGCGAGCGGCGCGCGUGCGCAGGGCCUGCCGCGCUUUCCCUACGGAACCAGGCCUGUCUGCCCCGGAGUGGGAGCUCGCGGCUGGGCCCUGCCGUCCGCCUGGUCCAUUUCCUGUCGGGCGGAGUGCCCCCGCCUCCUUGGGGCUCGCCCGCCCCGCCUCUGCCCGAGGCUGGUCGGCUGUGAGCCACCUUGCCUUUAACCCCCCUGGAGAGAGUGGGGUGAGAGGAAGGAGGCGGUGGUGUUCGAGACUACCCGGAGGAUUUGAGCUUGCCGCUGACGGGAAGGCACCAAGAGGGGAGACCGUGGAGCAGUCCCGCUCCCCCCAGUCUUCCAUGCGAAGGGUCUACCCCUGUAGGAGCAAGGGUCGCUCCCACAGUCACACUUCCAGAAGGGCCACAGCAUUGCAGCCAGAGAUGGUUUUAUCCCUCAGGAUUCAAUCCCCCGAGAAGUGAUAGGAGAAUCACAUCUCUGGCCUCCCCCAGGGCUGUCUUGGGGUUGCUCGGAGAGCCUCCUUCCCUGGGGUCCUAGGACCUACGGAAAGAGCUUCCAGGGCCUAGACCCAGAUUCUGCCUAUCACUUGCUGUCGUGUUUUGUAACUGGAGUGUGGUUCUCACCUCUCUGGGCCUCAGUUUUCCCGCUGUGGGAGUGUGCUGCUCUCGAUAGUGCCUAGCCAGCCCAUCACAAAUCUGUCCAGCUGGGAGGGUGUUUCUCUGGGGUCAGACCCCUGGCUGGCAGUCCAGGAGCUGGUUGUCAGGGAUGGAAGCAGCACUCAAAAAAGAGACGGGAGCAGACCCACAGGAGAGGGGACCUGCUGGCCACUGACUCAUGUAUCAGGCGGCUUAGCUUCAGCAACAGCAGUGCCUCAUGAGGAAUUGGCUGCUGCUCUCACUAGGAGUACAGCUGAAGUGGGAAACUCCACUGUGCCCCACAGUCCCGUCCCCCAUGCAUGGGGAAAGAGCCUUCCUAGAGAGAGGAAAGGAGGCCCUGCCACCCCUCAAAUUAGCUCACGAUGUCCCCCUUAUCUCUCUCAAUCUGCACUCCUCUGGGGGGACACACACCCUGGGGGAGAGACUGGUGAGGAUGUGUGGAAUUGGGAAAAAAACCCUGGGUGGUGGAGGGCAUCCUCCAGCAGGGAUGUAAAGAAAGGCAGGGUUUGGAUGAGUUCAGAAGGGAGAGCUCAUGGGGAAGGGUGACAGUGGAAGCAAAGGGGUGGAGGAGAAUUAGCCUGGCCGUGUGAGGUGGCAGCCGGGCCCUGGGCCUCCAUCACCAUGGUUGGAUGAGAGGCCCGAAGCCUUGGUUUCUGAGUGGAAGCCCUGCCUCCAGUCUUGAACAGUUAGAUACAAUGCAUAACAUGGAUCAUAGCAGGGCUGCCCUUGCGGGGCGGGGUGGGGGGACAACACAGAACCCUCUGACUUAUAAGGCUAGAGCACAGCAGGAACUUGCCAGUGGUCAGACAGCCAGAGGUCAGAGCGGCCCCUGCCCAGGACCUUGCCCAGUAACUGUGAGCCUCCCUGAUGGUGCUGGGAGAGGGAACCUGGUGCCCUGGGCGAGGCCUUGGGAUCAAAGACAUUCCUCUUCAGGAAUGUGGCCUUUCCUGCCCUUCAGGGUUCAGACCCUCCUUCACCUGCAGCCCCAAGGAGGGGUGCCCCCCCCCCCCCCCCCGCUCACCAGGGUCUCCUGAGGGGCAGAGUGGGGGCCGCCAGAACAGAUCUGGGUCCCUGGGGGUGAGCUGGUCUCAGGAAGGGAACUGCAGGUGGGGUACGCUUGAGCUCUCUGAGGGUUAUGCCCUCCCACACACCUCCAGGCCUUUGCACAUGCUAUCCCCUCAGCCUGGACUGUUUUUGUCCUUACCCUUUGCCUGCCUUUUAGAAGAUCCCAGCUCAGGUGUCACCCUCAGGGAGGCCUCCUCUGAUCCUCCAGGCUAGAGUAGCUCCCUGCUCUGUGCUCCCAGGACCCUUGUCCCUCAUCUUUGCUCGAGAAUCUAUCACAGUCACUGUUCAACACCCCCUACCAGACUGUCUCCAUUCGGAUGCCCAAUGGCAUGUCUACCUCCCCUCAAACCCGUUCCUCCUCCUGUGUCUGUCUCAUCCCUGUUCACCCAGGUGCCAGGCCCAAACCCAAGAGGCAUGUUUGGAGCUGCCUUCCCUCUCCGCACAUAUCACGCCCCAGAACCACAGAGUGAAGGGGGUUUUCUAGCAGGGCAAGGCUUGGCCAUGAUAGAGGGACAUUUGAUGCGAACUGAGCAGAUAUGAACUGGUGUGCACACCCAUAUACACAUCCACAUAGUUGGUGACUCAGGAACUGGGUCACCAAGAAUACUUUAAGCAUCUUGGAAGCAGACUUCCUUUUCCCACUGGUGCCCAUGGAUUUCUUAGAGAUGGGCCACCGUGUUUCGAAUGACAUGUGCCAGCGAGGGAAGAGGGGAAGAAGGUCAGUUCCUUGCUCUCCUAUCCUAAGGAGGCUAGCACAGAUUUAGGGUGAGCUCCUGCUUGCUUCCAGGAGGGCAGCUUUCUAACAUGGGUCUACUUCACAUCCCUCUAUGAGAGCUGAGCAGGGGCCAGGAACCCCAACUCAUGAUGCUUGCUACUGGUGACAAGCCAGCCUCUCCCCAGUGCAGCUCCACCAGGCUGCAGGAGGUGUGCCAUCAGAGCCCUGCCUGAGACCCAGAAUGGGGGUCACUCUGCUUGCCCCUGAACCUUGGGACAGCUUCCUUCUCAUCCCUUGGCGAGGUGCCUGCCUGGUUGCAGUCGGAACAGAUAAAGUCUAAGUGAGGCCGGGGGUGGACUGUGAAAGGCCUGGUACCUCUCCAACCCUACACAUACACACACAUAAGGACACACAAACACACAUAGACUUACCUAUAUAUCCACAUAUGCUCACAGGCACAUAUGUGUGUGUGCAGAAAUACAUAAAUAAGACCUAUGCAUGGGUGCAAAAAUACCUAAUACAUGUGUGCACACACACCCACGGUUAUAUGCACACACACAUACAGACUGUGUAUGUCUGGGACUUGCCACUCUUGUUGAAGAGUGCCCACAGACAGGUACCCCAGAGGGGUUGUUACAGGCUGUUGGAAUCCAUGCUCCCCUCCCCCAGCCCUCCAGUCCCCUGAGCUCACCCUACUCUAUUGGCUGUUGCUAGGAUCUCCAUGGUGACAAGUUCUGGAUGGGAGGAAGCCCACCACUGCCUUCUUCCCAGCUGGGGGCUGCCAGGGCCUGGGUGAUGGCAGUACCCCAUGGGGAAGUUGUUGCCUGGAACAGCUCUGGUGCUGGGGAGCCACAUGCCUGUUGUUCAUCCUCCACUUGUCCUGCCCAGCUCUCUCCCUAGCGGUGACAGAGCAGACCCUGGCCAGCCUCCCCUUGUGGAUUCCCCAUGGCCACUUGCUUGAGAGUGUGCCUCUCCCAGCCACAAACCCAGCCAACUGGGGCCAGCCUGAGGAUGGAAAAUAGAGGACAAAUGUUCAUCACUCUCCACGCUUUGUCCCUGGCAGAUAUUACUAGUCAAUCAUAGCACUUUCUCUUGCUGAGCCGUUCCCUGGCCUCAAAAGCCUACCAAGCAGUCACGACCAGUUGAUUGAUUGUGGUAGACAAGGGACAUAAAACCUAUUUGCUAAGGCCCCAAUUCAUAGCCAGACCAGCUAUGGCCUCUCUGUCCCCACCCUCCUCACUUCACCUGACCUCCUCCUGCUCCCUACUGUGUGCCCCAGACACAGUGCCCCUGCCUCCACAUACUUCCUCAUUCCAUCCUCUGAAUCCAUCUCUAGCUUCUGAGGGGCCACCAUGGCCUCAGGAAGCCUGCCCUCCUGACCUCAACAGAAUCUGCUCCUUUUCCUAAUCCUCCCCUAUGGGGCCCAGUGUUUUUCAUCGUCUACCCAGUUAGGGGCAGUUCAGCCUCCAGGAGUCUGGAGUGGAGCAGGUCGGGAUCUCACCCCUGUGACUUCACCUAUGUAAGCCCCCCUUUCAUCAUUGGAAUCCCCCACAAGGUCACCUAGAGUCCUGGGGCCCGGUCAGGCCUUCCUCAUGUCCCCACCUGCCCUCCAUACCAAGUUCCCCUCGGCAAAUGGGGUUCCCCUAAGAGGAGAGGGUUUGCGGGGCUUGUUGGCCUCGGCAAGUGAGCACUUCAAGCUCUGCUCAGGGCUGACUUGGGAUUGGUAUCAAGCAGCCCUGGCACCUGUCCCGGCAUGAAGGCCACACCCUGAGUUACUCUCAUCCCAUUGCGGCUUUCACCUUCUCGGCCCUGCAUUCACCUCAGAUUCCCCAUUGAGGGGAGCAGAGCAGGGCUUGUCUGUCCAUUCUACAGAUGGGAAAGCUGAGGCUAGGAAGGGAAGUGUCUUGCCCAAGGGCCUGGCUCCAGCCCCAGCCAGUUACUCACCCAGUGGUCCUAGGUGAGUCAUGGUGCCCAGGUGAUGGGAAGGAAACAUAUAAACACGAGCAGUGGGAAGGGCACUCCAGGAGCUGGGCAGAUGUGCCUGCAUGGGGCUCCCAGCUCUGAACUCCCCCACACAGGCACCUAUGGGCUUACUGGGCAGGUGAAACCCUGACUGUCUCAAAUUGUGUUCCCUUCUGGCCUUAUGUCUCGGCUUGGCAUCAGCCUUGGGAGGGCUGUCAACCCACAUGACAGAUGGGGAAACUGAGGCCCAUGGUUAGAAAUCAAGCUGUGGCAGGGGACUGUGCCCCAGACUAAGAACCCAGAGCUCCUUCCCCCCAGCCUGGGGUCCCCAACUGGCUCUUACUAUGGUUCCAGGCUCCUGCAGGAAGAGACCCAAGCAUAGGCCACAGGAAGCCCCUUGCACUAGCAACUCUUUCCUAUCUCUGGGGUGGCAGGAGGCCAACGCUGGCAGAGUAGGGGACAGACUGGGGGCACGGGCAGCCACUCACCCCAUAAGGAGAAGGGGCUGUAUCCUUCCUGCAUGUAGUAUGUGUGCUAUCAAAUGCUCUCUCCACUUCCAUGGCAUACAUGGCUGAUCCUGCCCAGGACCCAGCUUCAGAACCUCUGCCCUCCACUGUCUCUACACAGUCCAGACCUCUGACCUCUCCCCUAGACCAUCUCACUAGGCUUCCAGCCCCUGCUCCAUCCCCACAGUCUAUUUCCCACACAGCAGCCAGAGAAAUCUUUUGAGAAUGGAAUCAUACCCGGCCCUCCCCUGCUCUGAAGCCUCCCAUUGUUGCAGAGAACUCCACUGGGUGGCCACGUGGCCCUUGGUGAUCUGGCCCUGCCCCUCCCCCCCACCUCCUCAAGUCCCUCAGGGUCCAGGAUUCUCUGGGUCCCUUCUCCUCUCUCUCUCUCUCACUCGCCUAGCCCAGGCCCCACAUCCUCCUGCCUGUUCUUUCUUCAGGGCCUUUGCUCUCAUUGGCCCCUCUGCUGGAAACUUCCUCCCCAGCUCUUUCCUUUGACUAGUUUCUUAUCCUUCUCCCCAAACCCACUUGUCCUCCAGAGCCAGAGAGGGCACCUGGGAAGUGGCUGAGCCAGAACUGGAACCCUAGCCUCCUUUUAGACUCUGUGUUGUCAGCCAUGAGCACAUGGUCCUGGGAUUUAAAAUGCUUUUGGCUUUCCCUUGCCACACUGGAGGAUUCCAGAAGCCUCUCACUUCCAUUCCCCACUUGGGCCUUAGCCCGUCCUGCAUGACCUGCCCAGAGUCACUCAGUGAGAUUCCCUGGAGCCAGGAGGCUCCUGGUCAUGAAGGGAUGGAUCCCUGCUCUCACCGGCCUCGUCCAUGGCCUCAGGCUAUAGGCCUCAAUUUCCCUCUUUCAGAGAGGGUGCUCCCUCUCCCAGCCAGGUGCAGCUCAUCCUUCCUCUGCAGAUUGAGCCAAAACACUCACUUCUAGGGGACUCUGGGGUCCCAAGCCUGGGUUCCAGUCCUGCAACCCACCAGCGGUGAGCCUGGAGGAGGGGCUGGGCUGGUGAGGGAGCCCCAUCUGCUGACACUGAGACCAUCCCUAGAGAGCCAGGAGAAGCAGCUCACCAGCCCUGGGAAACCAGGCAGGCUGGGUCUGAUUUCCCUGGGGCUCAGAGGAAGGCAGAGGAGAGAGGGAAAGGAUUCAGAGAAGACUAGCUGGGCCGGUUCCUUGCCCCAAGGCCAGUGAAGGCCAGAGCCCUUUCCUCUUGCAUCCCCCUCCCCAGAAUCUUUGCCCUGGGCUGAUCCCCCUCCCUCUUACAACACUCCAGGGCUUGUGGGCAGCACCUCAUGAGUCCACCUGGGGCUCUGAGGGAUAGAAACCAGGGAUUUGGGGGAGCAGGGGUCCUUCUGAUCCUUCUGAGGCCACCUCUGCCAGGAAGGGCCUGGAGCCCUGAUGGUUUGAGCAGGGGUAGGAGGCAGGAGGGCAUCUCUGGCAGGCAUUCCCAGACAGAGCAAAGGCAAAGAGCUGUGAUAGAGUCAGGUGUGGUGCCCUGGUUCUGUCUUUGCCAAACCAGCCUAUGGUUUUUUGAUUAGGAGAGCCAGCAGUGGCAGGCUCCUGACAGUAAAGCUAGCCCAAGCUUUGAGGCUGAGAGGGUGGAGGAAGCUGGGAAUUCCCAGGGCACCUGGCAGGCGGAUGUGCCAGGGGCCUGGGCUGGGUCUGCUUCAGGUGGGCCAAGGGGCGGGGCCGGUAGGUCUCUCUGUAGCUGCCAGGCUUAAUUGUAUCAUUAGCAUCUGCCUGCUGCCAGCCUGGGCCUGUCUGGUCCCCUCCCCGUCAGCCCACACAGCCCUGUUUUUCAGGAAUCCCUCCUAUGAGGCAUUGAUGGUGACAGUGACAGUGACCAUGAUGAGGCUGGGGAAAUGGCCUGGGAGCCAGCUGGCCUGGUCCAGGCGUGAGGUUGCUGGGUUGAGGCCUCACCACCCAGUCACAUCCGAGAUUUCACACCCAGCGCCAUCCCAGCUGCCUGCCUGGGACUGGAUGUACAGUGUUCCCACAUAGGUAGGCACUGGUGGCAGGACCAGGAAACAGUCUGGGGGACUCCCUUUCCUGGCCUGGCCCCACCCAGCCCAACUCCUGCCACAAGGGCACAUGCCCCAAGACUUGGGAGCCUCCCUCCCUCCAAAGACUAGGGUCCACUGGGAGAGAGAAGGGGUCCAAUGAACUCUGACUCUCAGGGCUCCUAGGGGGCCCUAGGCAGGGACAGGGUAGACCAGGGGCCAGCUCUGCCUGAAGCCCCUGCCCACAGCCAUGGCUUAUGCAGUCUCCCAUCAGAAGACAGGAUUGCCUUGACCCUCACCUUCAGAUGGGACAACCUUCUGGCCUGAGCUCUAGGGGCAGCUCAGAGACUAGGGUUGGUAGGAGUGAGGUACUGAGAGGGCGCUUUGGCUGGGACUAGAGCUGGAACCCUCCAUAGAAACCUCCCCACAACCACCAAGCCUGGCCCAAAGAACUCAGGCUGGGGAGUAGCUAGGUUCCACAGGCCAUGGGCAUUAUUGGGACAUGGAGCCCCCAGGCAGGAGGGAGCUGGAGCCUGCAAAGCUGAGGAGCUGCUGUGGACUGGGUGGCCCCUGGAUAUGCCCCAGCCUCUCCAUCUAUGAAGCGGGGCAAUACCUUCUGCCUACCCUAACUCCCAGGGGUGUGGGGCAGCCAGGCAGGUUCUCCAUUGGAUCUGUCAGAGGGAGGGGCCUCUUUAGCCAAAGGGGCUGAGCACAGACUCCAACUACCCCUGCACUGCAGGAGCAAGAGUGGGCUUGGCAUGGCACCUGGAGUAGACAAGGUCAAGUGCUGACCACCUGCUAGGCCCUGCUCUGGACAUGGCGGGACAGCCCUAUGUGGCCCUCAGACAACCAAGGUGUGAAUGUGCCACGUGUGCUGGGACAGGGCAUGGGUGAGAGGGGGGCAGGGGAUUGGGGAGGCUGACCAAGAGACUUGGUUCUAAUCCUGACUUCACCGCCAGCCUCCCCUCUCUGGGCCUCAGUUCCCUCCUCUAUAAAAUGGGGGUGCAGUUUACUGUGCAGGACUGCUAUGAGGCAGGGGGAAACACAUCGUGUGAAGGGCCCAGACCAGGGCUGAGCACAAGUCCCCCUGCUCAGGCCCCUUGUUCCUAGAGAGUGGGGAGAGGGCCCUGGGGGGAAGCAAUGACCCCCUGUGGGAAGGCCUCCUCGGGGGAGGAAUGGGAAGGGGGCCUGUAAGCAGCUGUGCCAGCGUGUAUGGACAGAAUGGGUUCUAAGCAGAGAGGCUGGACCCAACAGGGAGGGAAACAGGGACAGAGCAACUCUUCUGAACCUCAAGCUGGUGGCUGCCCCGUCCUGAGCCUGAUGUGGUGGUGGGGGUGGUAGCAUGGGCAUUCCCAACACCUGAAGCGUGCCUGUGCAGAUCCCAUCCCAUGGGCCAAGGCCCUGCCCACCAGCCUCAUGCCUCUGACUCUGUGCCCAAGCCUGCCCACCCACCUCCUGCCCUCCCAUAAGGAAGGGUAGGGAGGGCAUCAGAGUCACCAGGGCCCUGGCACAGCUCAAGCAUGGUCCUACCUCCAAGUCUUGGCCACACCAGCACCCUGCUGCCUUCUGCUUACCCUUCCUUAGCUGUCACCCACAUUCGAUUCCCACCCUUUGCUCAGACCCAGAAGACAACACCCUUAUCCUGACCCUCAGGGAGCCUUUCCCACGAGGGGACUUUGGCCCAUGCCUCCUGCCUCCUCAGGGCUCUUCUUGCAGCAUUGUCCACAGAACACUAGGUCUGCCAGGUAUACCUCAAUAAAAAGCCAUGUGGUCAAUGUCUGGGAAACACUGUGAACUCUGUGACCCCAGCUGUAUAGCACAGAAGUGUGUCAAAGGCUCUGACAAGCCCUGCAGGGAUGUAGCUGGCUUUGUUUUGUUCAUCUGGCAUUCCCCAAACUCUGGUGACCACAGCAUCAGUUUUUUGCAUAACCUCCACUACUAGUCCCUGGGACUGUGCCCUUAGCAUGUCCUUCAGGGGAGAAAGUGGGCUUAUGUUGCUCAGUGGCUGUUCAUACCACAUUUUCUUCCUUGGGCUUCCCUUUUCAUUUUCAAAUGGAGAGCUGAGGGUCAUCAAGGUAGUCCCUCAUAAUCCCACACCCUUCCUCUGGCCCACUCUAGGGGCCCUGAGGUCUGCUUUCCACAAGCUGGUCGGGCUGCCCCAGUGGGAUCAGAAGCUAUCCUGGCCUGGCUCCUGGGGAGGCUAGGAUGAUUAAAUGGGCACUGGAGAGCAGGCUGGAGAGAAAUGAGAUGAGCCGGACGCCUGGCCAUGCUUCCCCUGACCAGCAUCAGCCCGUUCUUGGCCAUGACCAGCUCCUAUGGUCUCUAGCUCGAGGCUGCACAGGGCCAGACAGUGGCCAGAUGGGGAGGCCACUGCAUCUCAGAUUGGAGGCUGCGGACAAGGCCCCCUCCCCAAGCCCAGGCCAGAGUUGGGUUACGAGCCCUGAGGGUCUCCUAACGAGUUCCACAUGCGAGUGGAUGCCUCCAAGAGGAAAUGGGAAGAGGCUGCGGAGGGGGAGAGGGGCCUGAGAUGGGAUUGGAAACAUGUGUUUUGGAGGCGGAAGGGAGGGGAGGAGGGGCAGAGGAGAGGAAGAGUAUGCCCAAAAGUCCUGGUGCUCACCCCCACCAGGUUGGCUGCCAGUCUCCCAGGUCCCUGCAAGAGGCCCCCAGGCCAGCGGUCUGCUGGGAGAGUGGUGGGGGAGACCGCUUAGAGGGCCCACUCCUCUCCUGCAGGCGGAAAAAGCCCCCAAGGAAAAAAAUCCCUGGCACUGCUUGUCUGGGGCUCUGAGCCAUUAGGGGCAGGAUAGAACCAGGUGAGUGGGAGGGUCCAUGGGGCAGGAGGAAGCUCCUCCACAGCCAGCUAGCCGGCCAGCAGCAAGAUGCUCAUUCAGAUCCAGCCUGGCUUACCCUACCCCACCAGAGAGCCCUGGGGGCAGCGAGGCCACUGACCGGUCAGACCUGACCACCACCUUCAUCCCUCUCAGCUAGCAGGUAGGCAGGGAGGCCUCGCAUGGGGUUGCUGCUCCACCCUCCCUCCCUGUCCAGUGGGGCCAUGCAUAGGCACCCAGGUUGACCUGGUGGUUGGAAGCCUCAUUAGGAAAAGGCUGUGCAGGAGCCAUGUUGGCAUGUGGGGUGGGGGUGUCCAAUGAGAGAGACCUGGGGUGGGUAGGGAGCGGAGUCUGAGGGCCUCACAGGGUACAAUGGAUCCCCCUCCCAGUACCACUGGUUGGGCCCCAGGUUUCCAGCCAGCUGACUGUGGCUGAGCCUGGAGUGGGCCUUCUAGCCAGCUGGCUGGGCUGUAAGACUCUGAGGGUGGGGGCCCAGCCCUUCAGCCCCCAUCUCCAGCCACCUCCCCAGGCCAUGGAUCGGAGCCCAGUAGGGAAACAGCCUGCUCUUAGAAUUUUGUGUGAAUUGUCUCAGCAAGUCUUUCCAGCAGCCCUAUGAGGCCACUCCUGCUCUUACCCCAUGUUAUGGAUGAGGAGGCUGAGGCACAGAGAGGCAAAGUCAGAGCAUUCCUGCCAGAAAGAAUAGCGGGUGCAAAGGCCCUGGGACUCGAAUGUGCCUGAUGUGCCCAAGGAACAGUGAGGAGGCUGGAGGGGCAAAAAGGGAGAGUGGAUGGUAGGAGAUGGGGGUGUGGGUUGGGCGGGAUUGAGCAGGGCCUCUUGGCUGUGGUGAGCGCUGUGGCCUGUACUUGGAGGAGGCUGGGAAACCACUAGAAGGGGUUGAGCAGGGAUGGCAUAAACUAUGUCACAAGUUUCCUUUUUAUUAUUUUUUAAUCUUAUAGCUUAGUGGACUCUGGCUGCUAUGUUGAGAACAAUGGGGUAGGCCAAGGGCAGAAGCUGGAGACUGGGCGGGAAAUGAGUGGGCGACAUCUCAGCAGGUCCUGGUCCUUGAGGGGCUGGUUCUGAGAGGGGCUGAGUGGUGGGUGGUCCUGAGCUUCUGGGAGACUUGGCAGGGCCCUCACCAGACCUGCCCCAGCCUGAGGCUCCCAUCUCUCACCAGGGGCCUCCAGAGCUGAGGCUCCCCCAAACCAGAAGCACUCAUCCCCAACAGGAGACUUCAGGACACCUCUCAAAGGGCGUGGGCACCCUUGUGAGGCCUCACAAAUGGCCCCUUUUCCCAAGCACACCCCAACUGCCAGGGGAGCUAGACCCAACCCCAAGGUCAGGGCUUUAUAGUUCCAGCCAAGAAGUCCACAGCAGCAGCCCAGACAAGGGCGGCCCAGGCCUCUGCAACAGAAAGCACCUUCUGUUUCCAGUUAGCAGGCACGUGGGAGCCGCUGCCUCAAGGAUCUGGACAGACUAAUUACAUUGCUUCUCUUGCUCCAAGUUUCAGAGGCUUCUGAGGAGCCAACCCAGGAGCAGUUGUCAUGAAGAUCCCGGGAGCUAAGCUGGGGGUGCGGGAUGUGCUGGCCCUGGGGAGCAUGUCCAGUGCUCUCAUCUCAACCUUGGGCAUGAGGGCAUGUCUUUGGGGUGGCUCUGGCUGGGGUCAGAGUUUGAGGGGCUCAGUGCAGACGUGGGGUGCAGCACCAUAGGAGCUUUGGAGGGGGUGGAUGGUUCUAGAGACCUGCCAGGUCAAGGCAUGGCCCUGGGCUGAGCCUAGUCAGGGGAGGGCAGGGUGCAGGGCAGAGGUCUGGAAGAAGAGGCCAGUUGAGCAGAACAUCUGCUGGGCACAUGUGCCCUCAGCCAGGCCUCAGACCAGGGGAUCAUGGACUGGAAAGAUGUGGGCCCGAGGUGUUCAGGGACGUUCAGGGCUCCGAAGUCAGUCUUGAUUCCAAGGCUGAGUCCAGGUGCCCAGCUAGGAAAGGAUGGAGAUGGACAGGGGCUGAUGUGACUGUGUGACACUGCUGGCAUGGCCCCAGCUCCUGCAGGCCAGGCCUCUGCCCACUCUGCCCACAAAAGAUGCUGAAGUCCCACUUUCAGGAACACACACUUGUGCCUAAAAGAGGAGCUUAGGGCCGAGAAAGGGAAGCUGUAGGAGAACGUGGCUUCCUUUCCUGCCCAGGUUCCUCGUCCCAGCACUCGCAUUUUCAUGAGCGGUAGGAGAGAGUGGGUGGCGGCCAGGGUUCCUGCCACAAGAAGCACUCCCAGGCAGACGGGGCUUGAGGUGGUCUCCCCUAAAGUGAAAGCACUCCCUGGCCUUGCUCUAUAAAUAGGUUCUUGGGAGAGUGUUUCCACAUGGCAGCUCCCAGCCAAAGGAGGGGCUGGCAUGGAAAGCUUCCUAAUGGCUUUGCCCCAGGCUCUCUGGCCUGGCUCCAGCCUCAUCUUGAGCAUGGCUGUGAGGGCCCUGCAUCCUGGGCCCUCAUGGGUGGAGAGGCAGGGUGAAGCCUCAGAGAGACUUCCCCUGAGUGGCUGAGUGAGUGAGUCCAGGGUGCCAGAGCAGCUCAGCUGUGGUGGGCUGGAGCCCACCAGGCAAUAGGACAAGGCCCUGUGCCAGGGUGGAGAUGCUCACAGGAAGUAGAACGAUGCCCCAGGGUGCCAGGCAGCCACCAGCCUGCCACUGCUGCCUUGGCAAAGUGGGUCCCUCCUCAGCAGCCUCAGGGCAGGGUGGGGUAGAACAAGGGUGCUUGGCAAGAAACACCAGUGGAUUUGUGUCCCCCUUUAAUGGCCACACACCAAUUAAGGCUGGAGCCAUCAGGGGCCCAUCUUGAGUAAAUCGUUUAGAUGGGGCUAAUGAGAGGGAGCAGGGACAACAGGGCCAGUGUGACUCACCACGCUCUCGCUUGCUCAGCGGGCUGGGCUUCCGGGAUUCCAGGCAAUCACAAACACCCACCCCCAAGCCUGUGCUGGCCCUAGUGGCUGCCUCCAUGAUAGCAGAAGAGGUGGCCUUGGAGUGGCCACUCCAAGCAGAGAGGUGGCCACUUGCCACCCCAAGUGGCGAAGAGCUGCCUGAGCCCCUCUGCCUGCCAGCCCAACACCUUCCUCACUGGGAUGCCCAUGGCAGGGGCCACAGGAUCAAGAGAACUUAAUUAACUCUGGCCACUUAGAAUUUCAGAGCCAGGGCACCCUGAACCAUCAGCCUCAUUGACACAUAGGCCAAGUUGCAGGAAGGGGCCAGAACAGCCAGAAGUCUCCCCCCAGGCUGGUGGAGGGUAACCUCAACAGCCACACAUUGACUGCACUCUCCCCCUGUGCCAGUCACUGCUCUGAGCGCCUUGUGUACCCAGUGAGACAGGCACUCUGCCAUAAACGGAGUCUCUACAAGGUUAGGGAACUUGUUCAAGGUCAUGGAGCUAGCAGGGGGCAGAGCCGGGAUUUGGACUCUGGCAGUGGGUCAGGGGCCCCUGACUCCAUUGCUCUGCCCUCUUGGCAGCCCGCUACCAUGGAGAAAUCAUGAAGCUGUGGCAAGUGGAUCAUGGGACAGAGGGAAAAGGAUGGUGCUGGGUGGGAGGAUGGCAGAGAGUUUUCAGGACAGGCUGGCUUGUGCCACCUGAGUCUCUGGAGGGACACAGGCCUGAAGGGACCCAUCAGCUGCUUCUGGGGAGUGGUGACUCAGAGUGAAGGGCAGCAGGCUCACCAUGAUGUCAAGGUUAGACUCAGCUGCUGCUGCUUUCUGGCUUGGUCGUCCAGCCUACUUGAACUGCCUUCCUUGGUGUCUCUGGCAGGAAGUGUAGGUUCAUCCCUGGAACCCCAAGAAUCUGGCAAAGGGUAGGUGGGGGACUGCAAUUUAAGAAUCACUUGUUCUUUUAUUUCACAUUAGGAAAAUUAGCGCAUGAAGGGGGCAGGGUUGGGAAUUGCCACUGAGAUGCACUUCCUAACAAAAACCCCAAACCUAACCUAUCUUCCUAGCCAAAAAAAAAAGAGAUGGCUGCAAUUUGGUUUUCUGGGAGCUCAGUUACCAAAACCCAAAAUUAGGAGAGAUGAUGGCUGAGCUGAGGCACCUGCAUUUCUGGAGGCCUGCUUUUGAGCUUGGCGGCAUGAGCAGGGGACUGGUAAGAGCCCCCACCACAGGGGAGCCAUCGGGGACAGCUGGCAGGGAGAGACACCACAAGAUAGGCCCUGUCACAUGGCCCCCAACCUCACCAAGCCACCUCAAGCCCACUCAGACCCCACACUCCUCCCUUGCUCCUAAGGGCCCCAGAGCCAGUCCUGCCUGCCACCAGCCCAGUGUUGCCCAGCUCAGGGUCCUGCAGCACCUUCAGCGGGGGAGUUGUUGGAACUGAGGCUAGACAGUCACCAGAAUGGUCAGAGUGCCCUAGAGUCCCCUGUCCCUUCUCCCAGGAGCAACCUGCGCCCCUGGAUUCUCACUCGGAGAAUCAGAGAGGUCUCAGGUGAGAACCUGAGCACCCUCCCAGCACUGCCCUCCGCAUGGUGAUACACACUGACCCCCAGGCUUGCAGGAGGCGGGGCUCUCUGUUGUUUUAAAACAAGUGCAGCUCUCCAAUAACCAUCCUUCCCCCAAAUUCCAGGUUUGGCUGGUGGCUCUGUCAAGGCAGGUGAGUGUGCAGGAAACCCCCCAGGAGGGUGGCCUGGGGCAGGGGGUCCGUUGAGUACCUGCUGUGCCAGGCUCCUGCAGCAUCUACCUCAUAACCACCUGGAGGGGUGGUUAUCACUACUUAACACAAGAACCUGAGGCUCAGAGAGGGUCACCAUGCUAAGGUCACAGAGCUGGCCAAAGGCAGAGUUGGAGGCCUGACCCUGGACUGCAGCUCUCUCUCCCCUCAGCUGGAGGAGGCAGCUUCCCUAUUCUUGUUGUUUAUCAGGACUCAACAUAGUCUGUGUCCUUGUCAGGCCAAGCUCUUAGGCAUUCAGGCUUUGCUCCUACCUGGAAGCCACAGAAGCUGGGAACCUCAUUAGCUGCAUGGUAUUGACAGCUCCCAAGGUCUAACACUGUCCCCCUAGACCCCACGGCAGGGCAGGGGUGUUGGGGAUAAAUACCUCCCCGGCUGGCUAAGCCCCAAGAAGCCAAAUGCUGAAGGCAACAACACCAACCAGACAUAUGGAAAACACUCUUUCCCCGACGGAUGCAGAAGGAGACUAUGGAAACCCUCAUGAGCAAAUGGAAAUGCAAGUGCCUGAGGCCUCUAGGUUCCGACUGAAGAAGCCAGCUGGGGCUAGCCAGAGGGAGGUGGGUGGUAGGCAGGGGCUCUGGCUGUCCCUGCUCCUCCAACAUCCUGAAUGGUGGCAAACAAGUGUCCUGGGCUUCAGAGGUGAUCCUGGCAGGGCCCUCCCAAGUUGCCACUUUCGUUCUCACUUUGUGGGCCCUGGGAUGGGGGACCAAUUAGCUCUCACUCAGGACAAGCCAUUUCUACAACAAGCUCAAUAAAGUUCAUUUUAAUUUUCAGAUUCCUUUGCCCUCGUGUAUGCAGAGGAGGAAGGCACCAGGCCCGAGGGAACAUGUGUGGAGCUGAAAUCAAGGCCACUGCAAAGCCACCCCCUGUCCAGACUGCCUGUUCCUGGCUAAGCCUGACUCAGACGGGCCCAUGUUGGGCCUUUUGUCAGAUUUAGAGAUUACUCUUGGCUUAUCCAUGCAACGAGCAGACCAUUCUAAGUUGUGGCAGGUGGGAAAAGCCAGUCAUAUGGCAGAAAGGUGAACAAACCCCAGCAAGGAGUGAAAAGCAAGGUGACUUGGGGCUGCCCUCUCCGGAGGAGGAGCUCUGAUCUUGAGGCUCCUUAGGACUCUUAGGCAGCAAAGAUUUUCAAGCGGCUCCUUCAUAUGAAACUAAACAUGGUCCAUUCUGCAGGGGUGGCCCUGCCUACCAGGGCCUCCCCCGCCAGGUGGAGAGGGGCAGACAGCAGGGCGGAGGGAAAAGUAUGCAGCUCCUGGGGCUUGGGAUGGAUGUGGUUCCCACAGAGUGGAAUCCCCUUUAUUUAUUUACCCAAGUCCCACAGUACAAACACGUGGCCUGCCACCCCCCAAAUC